rnacentral:rRNA from 1 species
UACGAAGGGGGCUAGCGUUGCUCGGAAUCACUGGGCGUAAAGGGUGCGUAGGCGGGUCUUUAAGUCAGGGGUGAAAUCCUGGAGCUCAACUCCAGAACUGCCUUUGAUACUGAGGAUCUUGAGUUCGGGAGAGGUGAGUGGAACUGCGAGUGUAGAGGUGAAAUUCGUAGAUAUUCGCAAGAACACCAGUGGCGAAGGCGGCUCACUGGCCCGGUACUGACGCUGAGGCGCGAAAGCGUGGGGAGCAACAGGG